UACAGAGGGUGCAAGCGUUAAUCGGAAUUACUGGGCGUAAAGGGUGUGUAGGUGGUUAGGUAAGUUAGAUGUGAAAUCCCCGGGCUCAACCUGGGAAUUGCGUUUAAAACUGUUUGACUAGAGUAUUGUAGAGGAUAGUGGAAUUUCCAGUGUAGCGGUGAAAUGCGUAGAUAUUGGAAGGAACACCGGUGGCGAAGGCGGCUCACUGGCCCGAUACUGACGCUGAGGCACGAAAGCGUGGGGAGCAAACAGG
rnacentral:rRNA from 1 species